UACGUAGGGACCAAGCGUUGUUCGGAUUUACUGGGCGUAAAGGGCGCGUAGGCGGCGCGGUAAGUCACUUGUGAAAUCUCUGAGCUUAACUCAGAACGGCCAAGUGAUACUGCAGUGCUAGAGUGUGGAAGGGGCAAUCGGAAUUCUUGGUGUAGCGGUGAAAUGCGUAGAUAUCAAGAGGAACACCUGAGGUGAAGACGGGUUGCUGGGCCAACACUGACGCUGAGGCGCGAAAGCAUGGGGAGCGAACAGG
rnacentral:rRNA from 1 species